rnacentral:rRNA from 1 species
GAUGAACGCUGGCGGCGUGCCUAAUACAUGCAAGUCGAGCGAACAGACGAGGAGCUUGCUCCUCUGACGUUAGCGGCGGACGGGUGAGUAACACGUGGAUAACCUACCUAUAAGACUGGGAUAACUUCGGGAAACCGGAGCUAAUACCGGAUAAUAUAUUGAACCGCAUGGUUCAAUAGUGAAAGACGGUUUUGCUGUCACUUAUAGAUGGAUCCGCGCCGCAUUAGCUAGUUGGUAAGGUAACGGCUUACCAAGGCGACGAUGCGUAGCCGACCUGAGAGGGUGAUCGGCCACACUGGAACUGAGACACGGUCCAGACUCCUACGGGAGGCAGCAGUAGGGAGUCUUCCGCAAUGGGCGAAAGCCUGACGGAGCAACGCCGCGUGAGUGAUGAAGGUCUUCGGAUCGUAAAACUCUGUUAUUAGGGAAGAACAAAUGUGUAAGUAACUAUGCACGUCUUGACGGUACCUAAUCAGAAAGCCACGGCUAACUACGU